GAUGAACGCUGGCGGCGUGCCUAAUACAUGCAAGUCGAGCGAACAGACGAGUAGCUUGCUCCUCUGACGUUAGCGGCGGACGGGUGAGUAACACGUGGAUAACCUACCUAUAAGACUGGGAUAACUUCGGGAAACCGGAGCUAAUACCGGAUAAUAUAUUGAACCGCAUGGUUCAAUAGUGAAAGACGGUUUUGCUGUCACUUAUAGAUUGAUCCGCGCCGCAUUAGCUAGUUGGUAAGGUAACGGCUUACCAAGGCAACGAUGCGUAGCCGAUCUGGGAGGGUGAUCGGCCACACUGGAACUGAGACACGGUCCAGACUACUACGGGAGGGAGCAGUAGGGAAUCUUCCGCAAUGGGCGAAAGCCUGACGGAGCAACGCCGAGUGAGUGAUGAAGGUCUUCGGUUCGUAAAACUCUGUUAUUAGGGAAGAACAAAUGUGUAAGUAACUAUGCACGUCUUGACGGUACCUAAUCAGAAAGCCACGGCUAACUACGUG
rnacentral:rRNA from 1 species